GUGUUGUUGAAACAAGUUGAAACUUCUUGUUGAAACGUGAGUUGCUUUGCAGUUUGUUCGCCAUAAAGAAUUCCAGAAUUAUUCCUUCAUCUCACCCUUGUAGGCUGCCUCUUGAGUUCUGUAGGAUUCCAGAAGAACAUUCUUCGGGCCAUCUGGCCAGUGGCUUUGUGGGGACCCUAUUCCCCAUGGUACAGCAACACUGGACUUCCUCUCCAGAGUUCUCACAGAAGACUCUACUGCUCACAAGACAAACAUACUACUACUACUACUACUAGAUUAACUAAUGUACCUCGCUGUAGGAUGGCGUUUGUGUGGCAACUUGCCCCGGAGAAACGCAUCUGUCAAAGUCCUUCACACCACAGUGAUCGGAAAGAACACCAGCUCCAAGAAGAGAGGGCCUCCAUUGUAACAGAUAUUUGCUGAGUCAUCUUCAGUUCACCAGCUCUACUUUAUAAACCAUAAUGCACUGAACCUUGUACUAGUGAGGGAGGGAACGCGUUCUUUAUUGCUUAGCGGGAUGUGUCAGGGAGUGAGCUGCUCCAGUGCUGAGCGUUCUUCCUGUUUUUCCCGGGAGUUCAAGUUUAUUCAACCUGCUGAAGGCUGAGGUUCUCAGAUGUUUCACUUUUCGGCUGUGCCAAGUAGGUCAGGUUCGAGCCCAGCCAUAAAUCACUCUGUGUGCGCCCUUGCAUGGAGCUGAGCUUCUGUUUUUCUGCAUGUGUGCGUGUGUAUCUCUGUGUGUAUGUAUGUGCCCUUACAUGGAGCUGAGCUACUGUUUUUAUGCAUAGAGGUGUGUGUAUGUAUGUAUGUAUGUAUGUAUGUGCCCUUGCAUGGAGCUGAGCUACUGUUUUUAUGCAUGGAGGUGUGUGUGUGUGUGUGUGUGUGUUCGCAUGCGCAUGCAUGCGUGCGCGCGGGUGCAGGUGCGCAAUUGGGUGUGCACUGAAUUGUUCCCUUUUAACUGAAUUAGUUCAGUGCUUGAGGCAACUGUAUUAGUGCACAAGAAAUCUAGAUCUAUGAAGUCCACUUAUGAAAUCCAUGAGGGGACAAAUGUGGGAUAGUACUGCUUCGAAGUUCCCAGAGUUAUUGGAGAGAGCAGUCAAGCUAAUAAUAAUGAUUAGUGAAUUUAGGAAAAUUCUGCUGCAAUCAGGGAAAAUUCUGCUAAAUUCUUCUAGGUAGGUAUGGUCUAACAUUAUUAUUAUUAUUAUUAUUAUUUUUUUUUUUUUUAAUCAGAGGCUCUAUCUGAAAAGGAACAUUUGUAAAAUUGACACCUCAAACUCAUAAUAAGUUAAGUUUUAUGAGAAUAAGUUUCUCAAGGUAGGAUACAGGGGAAAUCCUUGGGAAAGCCUUGAUAAAAAGUACCAUGAGGAAUGAAACCUGAGCACUUCUUGUUUGUGCUACUUUGUGCAUGUAUGAAAACCAUACACUUAUUAUUAUUGUAAAUGCCCCUAGAACAAAAGUGUGUUUGAUGUGCUAAAAUUUUAAAUCGCUUUUGCAGUUGUAAGCAUUUUGGUUUUUCUUCACACGAUGACUUGUGGCCUGAGUGAAGAAUUUCAUGAUGGACCCUCGUCUCUAAUUAGGUCAGAUGUUCUCUUUAUUUUUAUUUUUUAAGUCUCUUUUGGUCAAGACCUAUCACCCAGUGUCUAUUCCUGUCUUGACAUUAUGUCCUCCGGAUAGCCAGCAGAAAAAAAAAGGAUUAUAACAACAGUGCUCACGCUCACGCUCACGACUACUGUCUGUCCUGACUCCACGGUGGUGGAACGAACUCCCCGUUGAGGUCAGAACUAUAGAAUCUCUCCCCACCUUCAAGCGCAAGCUGAAGACACACCUCUUCAAGCAGCACCUCUCCCCAUCCCUCCCUACCUCCCUGUGAACCUUAAUUGUUGUCUCUGUGACUUGCUUUGUGUAUCGGUAUUUUUAGUUGGCUAGGUAAGCAGUGUUUGGAUAGUUAACUUUGGUCACUUUUGCUCUGUUUGUUUGUUUGUUCAAAAAAAAAAAAUGGCCCUUGUCCUUAUCUUUGUUGUACAGGUAGCAGUUGAAAUUGUACUUCCCUCUAGGGUCUUUCAGCGAACUUAUCCCUGGUUAUGGGUAUGCACUUUGUUGUACGUCGCUCUGGAUAAGAGCGUCUGCCAAAUGCCAAUAAUGUAAUGUAAUGUAAUGUAAAAAUGUAUAGAAAAAUUCACUUCCGGGCGGUAAUGAUUCUUGGCUUUCAUCCUCCUACCACAUUACCGUCCCAGUUGCGAAUAUAUAUCGCCGGAACCACA